CUCUACCUACGGGGCGCAGCAGUGAGGAAUAUUGGUCAAUGGGCGGGAGCCUGAACCAGCCAAGUCGCGUGAGGGAAGACGGUCCUAUGGAUUGUAAACCUCUUUUGUCGGGGAGCAAAGAGGCCACGUGUGGUCAAAAGCGAGAGUACCCGAAGAAAAAGCAUCGGCUAACUCCGUGCCAGCAGCCGCGGUAAUACGGAGGAUGCGAGCGUUAUCCGGAUAUAUUGGGUUUAAAGGGUGCGUAGGCGGGACGGUAAGUCAGCGGUAAAAAUGCGGAGCCCAACUCCGUCGAGCCG
rnacentral:rRNA from 1 species